rnacentral:rRNA from 1 species
UACGAAGGGUGCAAGCGUUACUCGGAAUUACUGGGCGUAAAGCGUGCGUAGGUGGUGAGUUAAGUCUGUCGUGAAAGCCCCGGGCUCAACCUGGGAAUGGCGAUGGAUACUGGCUCGCUAGAGUGCGGUAGAGGAGAGUGGAAUUCCCGGUGUAGCAGUGAAAUGCGUAGAGAUCGGGAGGAACAUCAGGGGCGAAGGCGGCUCUCUGGACCAGCACUGACACUGAGGAGCGAAAGCGUGGGGAGCGAACAGG